rnacentral:rRNA from 1 species
UACGGAGGGUGCGAGCGUUGUCCGGAAUCAUUGGGCGUAAAGGGCGCGUAGGCGGCCGUCCCAAGCGUGCGGUGAAAGUCAGGGGCUCAACCCCUGAUCGGCCGUGCGAACUGGGGGGCUCGAGCACUGUAGAGGCAGGCGGAAUUCCGGGUGUAGCGGUGGAAUGCGUAGAGAUCCGGAAGAACACCAAAGGCGAAGGCAGUGUCCUGGGGAGUACCUGACGCCCAGGUGCGAAAGCCAGGGGAGCGAACGGG